rnacentral:tRNA from 1 species
GGAGGGUAUAGCUCAGUGGUAGAGCGCAUGCUUAUCAUGCACGAGGCCCUGGGUUCAAUCCCCAGUACCUCCA